AGGGUUUGAUCAUGGCUCAGAACGUACGCUGGCGGCACGCCUAACACAUGCAAGUCGAACGAAGUAGCAAUACUUAGUGGCAGACGGGUGAGUAACAUGUGGGUAUCUGCCCUUUGGCCUGGAAUAACACGAGGAAACUUGUGCUAAUACCGGAUAAGUCUUUACAGAGAAAGCUUUAUGCACCAUUGGAUGAGCCCGCACUUGAUUAGUUUGUUGGUGGGGUAAUAGCCUACCAAGACUGUGAUCAAUAGCUGAUUUGAGAGGAUGAUCAGCCACAUUGGGACUGAGACACGGCCCAAACUCCUACGGGAGGCAGCAGUGGGGAAUCUUGCACAAUGGAGGAAACUCUGAUGCAGCGAUGCCGCGUGAGUGAAGAAGGCCCUUGGGUUGUAAAGCUCUUUCGUCGGGGAAGAAAAUGACUGUACCCGAAUAAGAAGGUCCGGCUAACUUCGUGCCAGCAGCCGCGGUAAUACGAAGGGACCUAGCGUAGUUCGGAAUUACUGGGCUUAAAGAGUUCGUAGGUGGUUGAAAAAGUUGGUGGUGAAAUCCCAGAGCUUAACUCUGGAACUGCCAUCAAAACUUUUCAGCUAGAGUUUGAUAGAGGAAAGCAGAAUUUCUAGUGUAGAGGUGAAAUUCGUAGAUAUUAGAAAGAAUACCAAAUGCGAAGGCAACUUACUGGGUCACUACUGACACUGAGGAGCGAAAGCAUGGGUAGCGAAGAGGAUUAGAUACCCUCGUAGUCCAUGCCGUAAACGAUGAGUGCUAGACGUUGGAAAUAUAUUUUUCAGUGUCGCAGCGAAAGCAUUAAGCACACCGCCUGGGAAGUACGGUCGCAAGAUUAAAACUCAAAGGAAUUGACGGGGGCCCGCACAAGCGGUGGAGCAUGUGGUUUAAUUCGAAGCAACGCGCAGAACCUUACCAGCCCUUGACAUGUGGAGUUUGGUUAUCAGAGAUGAUUUCCUUCAGUUCGGCUGGCUCCAACACAGGUGCUGCAUGGCUGUCGUCAGCUCGUGUCGUGAGAUGUUGGGUUAAGUCCCGCAACGAGCGCAACCCUCAUCUUUAGUUGCCAUCAGUUAGGCUGGGCACUCUAGAGAAACUGCCUGGGAUGACCAGGAGGAAGGCGAGGAUGACGUCAAGUCCUCAUGGCCCUUAUGGGCUGGGCUACACACGUGCUACAAUGGCGGUGACAAAGGGAAGCAAUAGGGCAACCUGGAGCAAAUCCCAAAAAGCCGUCUCAGUUCGGAUUGUUCUCUGCAACUCGAGAGCAUGAAGUUGGAAUCGCUAGUAAUCGUAGAUCAGCAUGCUACGGUGAAUACGUUCCCGGGCCUUGUACACACCGCCCGUCACACCAUGGAAGUUGG
rnacentral:rRNA from 1 species